AUCCGUUUUCGGCGUUUUGGCUGAGAUCAAGUAUAAUAUUGGCUCUUAUCAGUUUAAUAUUUGGUAUGUUCUCUGUUCACGAACAAUAUGUUAAGUGGGUUUGUGGAGUAGGGAGAUGGGAGAGUGGCUUGUUCCAUCCAGCUUGCGCAUCGACCUGGUGUUGCGGUGCUACCGGGCCCGGUACAUCCUUC